CAGUCGCCGCGGGAAUACGUAGGUGGCAAGCGUUGUCCGGAAUUAUUGGGCGUAAAGGGCUCGCAGGCGGUUUCUUAAGUCUGAUGUGAAAGCCCCCGGCUCAACCGGGGAGGGUCAUUGGAAACUGGGAAACUUGAGUGCAGAAGAGGAGAGUGGAAUUCCACGUGUAGCGGUGAAAUGCGUAGAGAUGUGGAGGAACACCAGUGGCGAAGGCGACUCUCUGGUCUGUAACUGACGCUGAGGAGCGAAAGCGUGGGGAGCGAACAGGAUUAGAUACUCCAGUAGUCCCUGUCUCUUAUAC
rnacentral:rRNA from 1 species